AUCACGAGGCUGCACCGGUCGGCAAUCAGGCUGAACACUGUUGCCGUUGAUCUCCUUGCCUGCAGCACUGGGCGUCGCUUUCUUCGAGUUAAGCUUUUACUAUGACUCACACAGAUGAGCUUCCAUAACUUGUUGUCAGAUCUUCUGUGGAUACCUGGCUAUGACAGUCAAUUAGUCAGACUAGGGGUAGAUGAGAUCAGACAUGAUGAGAUGAGAUCAGCUUUCCACAUGAUCAUGACAGCUAAGGAAUCCAGACUAAUGCUGAUCUUUCAGACAGGAAUCCAUAGUGCUAUUGACAUCUGCAAAGUAAAACAAGUCACAGUUAUUAGAUGGUACAAAAUCAUAAUUUUGAGAAUUUUCUCAUUGCAAUUUGGAAAAAAAGGUAUGGAAUAGAUGAUGUUGGACUGUAUCUGUAUUAAACUAAAUGUUCCUGCACAGGUGUCUUUCUUCAAUAUUAAUGUCAUAUGGGACAUAUAACUUUGUCUCUUGCUAGGUCCGGUUGGUCGGUCGAGGACAUCAUCAUCAUCAGAUGUCAACUCGGGAAGCAUGCUGGACCCUCCUUCUCCACUCCUCCCUAUCCUUCAUCAGUGAACUUACUUCAGCUAUGUUGCUCAGUCUGUCGAGCCCGUCCAGUACCAGUAAAAUGAUAUUGGAGGUACGGUACUAAUAACAAAAUGAAUUUUUUAUUCGACAGAUGGACAGAAUUACUGCCGGAAAGGUAACAGUUAAAGACUGUUUGAACAUUAUCUGAACACAGCUUACACUUUUACAGUGUCUCACCUCUUCAAAUACCAGAGUUACCAACCUUUAGCUAGGAUUGAUGUGUCCCAAACUUUGUACUAUCCAAUGACUAUCGUAAGAGUGGAAUUUUUUAUCACCAAUUACAGUAGGAGCAUAUUCUCUGGAUAGUUUUAAAGAACACUUGCAUAUAAAUGACUGCAAAAGUUGGGCCAUGGGUGUGAAGGGUCGUUCAGUGUAAUACAACCAGCUGCUGUCACACCGCGUGCCUGCGAAGCUGCAUGGUAUGAUUUUAUUUUAUUUUAUUCUGAUACACAAUUAUCCUAAUCAGAGGCUAUUCUUCCUGUGGUCACAUACAUAUGUACACAUUACAUACGUACAAUUAAAAACAUACAGAUUACAGAGACAUACAAAGUGACAAUACAUAGCAUAUGUAACAAAUUACUCAUAGUCAAAAUUUACAGUCCAAUACUAAUACUUGCUUAUACUUUCUGUUCCACAACAGUGACAUCCCGUACAGAAAGCGCCUUUUCUGAGAGUCGGAUUUUGGUUUCAGUAGUCUGAUCGUGUUCAUUCUGGUUGAGCGUGCCCUGUAAUGCUGGUAUGAUGCGCCGAAGGGCAUACUGGCUAAACAAAUACAGACAGUUUCUUAUGUCGUACACGGAAAAAAAAAUAAAAAUACACAGCCAACUGCAGUACCAUAGCAAAAUGCUAGGAGUACCAUUUUUUAAACUUGACCUUUGUUUUAAUAAUUGCUACACACCUACUAAGUAUCAUGAAAAUCCAUCCACAGAUUCUUGAGUUAACAGCUGUUGACCUACACGCAGACCAAUACCACAGCAGCUCAGCUGAAAACAUGUACCCUUUCAAGGUCAUGUAAUUAGCAACCCAAAUUGUCAUAUCAUUGCGAUGUACUAGUAAUAUCUCUUUUGUCUUUUUUUUUUCAGAAUCAGAGGUACUUCUUUGUGACUUUCGCAGAGAAAACGCCUGGGUCGAGUGGGUGAGGAAGAGGGAUCAUGGGGUGUACGACGACCAGCGCACUGUCCUCAGUCUCCUAAGAAACAUCACAGGUGCUGCCACACCUGACGAGUAAAACACAAGGGUAGACCAGCUAAAGGCAUCCGACAUCUGGCGACAAAGCGCCUAGCUCAGAACAUGGUUUUCUACCAAGUGGCUUCCAAAUGCUGAGAAAUGGGUCCAUGUCUUCAGAGGUGAGAACUUGAAGGUCGCCAUCUAUACGAACAAUGGAGUUGAACAACAAAACGAAACCCUCAAGUACUCGCACUAAGAAGGAAAGACGAGAUGCAGCCUCUCCGAGAUGCUCACUGUGGUUGUCAAAUAUUCCCUGCAUACAUCCUACCGAAGGAAAAUGGAUCCUAUGCACCACACUGUCAAGCCACUUUUCAAGUCAAUUACCGCUACGUCCACAUUGACACCACCAGAUUCCAACCCUAUCCUCAAUCCACCAACUUCCAUCCCCGUCUGCAAUCCACCAACUUCCACCACCAGAUUCAAUCCACCAAUUUCCACCCCGUCUUCAAACCGCCAACUUCCACCCCGUCUUCAAACCGCCAACUUCCAUCCCCAUCUUCAAACCGCCAACUUCCACCCCCAUCUUCAAACCUCCAACUUCCACCUCAUCUUCAAACAGCCAACUUCCACCUCAUCUUCAAACAACCUAAUUGUACUGCCAUCCCAAUCUUCAAGCCAAAUACUUCCAUCCCGAUCUUCACUGCUUCCACCGCCAUCUUCAAGUCAUCUACUUCAACCUCCAUCUUCAAACCAACUAACUCCAUCUUUAACCCAUCUGUGUGUACUUCAGCCACUCCUACAUCAUAUAAAACUAUCAAGACUCUGUCCAAAACACAACUGAUAGAAACAGAGAUUGGACACUUCCUUGAGUGCCCUUGCCCUCAAAAACCUCAAUACACUAGGCAAAGAACCUUGUCUGUUCCUAUAUGUACCAGAAUCAAGUCAACUAGCCUUGGCUAAGGCAGAGAAAGAAACAGUGUCGCAGUUACAUCCAAUGUAUGUGUCUCGCCUAGAAACAGGUUGGACAAAUGAUAUUUCCUUAAUGCCUCCAAUAAAUGAUGGUCUGGUAACAGAAUACUUUCUGGGGAAAGGAAAUAAACAGUGCAAGUCAUACAUAACGCUGGGUGCAUACACAAAAUUCGAGGAAGCGUAUGUGCACAGUAUCAAGUUUAAUUCCUUGUCAAGUACAGAUAACAUGGUCGUUUUACAAGGGAGAUGCCUUGAGCCACUGAUUUAAACAUCUUCAUUGAAUUGUAAUCGUAUACUGUAUUACUUGUAAGAAUCGCACUUUAUAUAUGCAAAGUUUGCGGUUUAAUAGAAUGUAGUCUGUAUGGUAGAGAUAUAAAUGCGCAAGUACUGUUAGUCUAGCGGUUAAGAACUCCAAUCCGCAUCGUUCCUUGAGUCUAAAAAAACACCAGUUCCCUGUUAACAUUUAUGAAUAAAGUUAAUAACUACAUGUUCAUUAUUUGUGUCUGCUUUCUUUGUGUCAACGAAUGUCAAAUUUGUAUUAUACUACCCCCCAUACCACAUCUCGGACCCUCCACCCGAGGUGGUGCGGUCCAAUUGACCAACUCCGCAUUAUCGCACACGCCGGAUAAUUGCACGGAAUUGGCUGGCAAAUCAGGUGUGCAAUUAAGCGGCUUCCACUGCAUACAGGGCUCUCUUAGAAUUCAGUCGGCUAGACCGAAGGGACC